GAUGAACGCUGGCGGUAUGCUUAACACAUGCAAGUCGAACGGUCACUUCGGUGAUAGUAGCGGACGGGUGAGUAACGCGUGAGAAUCUGUCUUCAGGUCGGGGACAACAGUUAGAAAUGACUGCUAAUACCGGAUGUGCCUUUGGGUGAAAGAUUUAUUGCCUGAAAAAGAGCUCGCGUCAGAUUAGCUAGUAGGUGGUGUAAGAGACUACCUAGGCUCCGAUCUGUAGCUGGUCUGAGAGGACGAUCAGCCACACUGGAACUGAGACACGGUCCAGACUCCUACGGGAGGCAGCAGUGGGGAAUUUUCCGCAAUGGGCGAAAGCCUGACGGAGCAAUACCGCGUGAGGGACGAAGGCUUUUGGGUCGUAAACCUCUUUUCUCAAGGAAGAUGAUGACGGUACUUGAGGAAUAAGCAUCGGCUAACUCUGUG
rnacentral:rRNA from 1 species